GGGGAGGGGGGGGAGAAAUGCAGGUGUCGAAGGCUGUCUUGAGUGGAAAGCACACUGCGGAAUGUACUCCAAGAAGGUCAAAGGAUGUUACAGAACUCCCGAGAUGAAGCUGAAGGUUGGAGAGAAUGGAAGAUUGACAUGGAGAUGAUGGCUUAGAUAUGGACUAAAACUGCCUCUUCUUAGCUGGAAGACCCUGCAACAUUUGCUUGCCAGAAAGCACAAGAUGAGCUGGAAAGGGGAGCAUGGCCAAACACAGUGAGCAGCGGGAGGGUGUGUUUAGAAAUCUCCAUUUGGUUUUGUAUUGAGUGAGCCCUUCCUACAGACAGGUGCUUUCUUCCCCAACCUAUGACAGUUUGACAGGAUUUUUUUUUUCUUCAGCUUUAAGUUGAUGGAAAAGAAUACUGUGUUGGUUUGAAUGGGAAUGUCCCCCAUAGACUCGAGUGUUUAAAUGCUUGGCACUAUCAGGAGGCAUGGCCUUGCAGGACUGGGUUUGACCUUGUUGGAGGAAGUGUAUCACUAUGAGUGGGCUUUGAGGUCUCUUAUAUGCUCAGGCUAUGCCCAAUGUGGAACAGUCUCCUUCUACUGCCUGUGGAGCAAGAUGUGGGACAGUCAGCACCUUCCCCAGCCUGCGUGCUGCCAUGCUUGCCGACCUGACAAUAAUGAACUCAGCCUUUGAAACUGUAAGCCAGCCCCAUUGUUUCCCUUUGUAAGAGUUGUCUUGGUCAUGAUGUCUCUUCACAGCAACAAAACCGUAACUGAGACCAUAUGACCAUUUUGAUUUUCACUUCUAAUACAAUAUUCAGUAAUGCUGGAGUCAUGUUUUUGUGCACUCUGUAAAGAUUAUCCUUGUAUUAUUCAAAUGAUGAUUUUUGAACCAGCAGAGAUCUCAUUCCAGACCAGAUUUUGGGAUUGUUAAAUAUCUCUUGCCUUAGUAUUUUGUAGACUGAGCUCUCAUCCUCUUCUGAAUAGUUAAAAGUCCUAUGGCCUAGAGCAAAAAAGCAGAAUAGUAAGGUGGGACUUCCAGAGAGAGAGGAACUCUGGGAAGGGAGGAGGGGCAGCCAACCAGACAUGGAGGAAGAAGCAGGCUGGGAGGAAAGGAGAGGUAACUAACCAGCCAUGUGGCAGAACUUGGAUCAGUAUAAAUGGGAAAAUUGAGUUAUAAGCUAGUGGAGAAUAAUGCCUAGCUAUAAGGCCAAAAGCUUAUAAAUAAGUAUAGUCUCCAUGUCAUUUUUCAGGGACUGGGGUGGGCUUAGGGAAGUCCACAGUUACACACUAAAUUACAUGAGCUAGUCAUUGCAUGGUAAAAUAGGCUUUGUCCAGUUUACUAAGGUAAGAGUUCUAGUGUUCAUUAAGCAAAGCUAUGGAAUUUGGUAGGUUAGGAGUGUUAAGUUCCUUUUGACUUUAUGAGACCUUCAAUUUACUUUAUGAGACCUUCAAUUUACAGCGGGCUUACUAAGACCCCUAAGUCAAGGCACGGGGGUAUAAUGUAGACAUUAAAAGCCCAGUGGGUUGGGAGCUGGUCAGUCAGUAAACUGCCUGUUGUGAAAACAUGAGGACUUGAAUCUAGAUCCCCAACAACACACAAAUCAAAGUGGGGUUGUGAUCACACACAACUCUGCAUUCUAGUGCUCAGUGGCUCACUCUCUCACUUGCCAGUUAAGCCGAUAUGAGGUGAGAGAAACUGUCUCAAAACGUAAGGUGGAGAGCAAGAGUGGAGUAGUAACCUCUGACCUUUACACACCUGUGUGAACACUCGUGUACACACACACACACACACACACACACACACAAAGCUCAGAUUGUGGGACCAGAAAGUGUGAUUUGAAUGUUACCUUCUUCCACUGUAUUUACCCUUGCUAUGCCUUGUGUAGUCCAUAGCCAAGACCCUCAGAAUCUGGUGUGUUUGUUUGUUUGUUUGUUUCUUUGUUUUUGUUGUUGCUGCUGCUGGGUUGUUUUUUAAGAAUAAAUUACUUAAAACAUGUAAACUCCACAAAACAGUGCUAUGUAAAUAUUUGCUAACUAGAAUUAUUUUUGUCAGCACUCAUGGAAAGUUCCUAAGCAGAAAAGUACAAGACCCAGUUUGCAUUUUAUGUUUUAGACAGGAUAUUUUUGGUUUUUUGUUAUGAUUUUGUGUUAGUUUGUUGUUGUUGUUUUUGUUGUUUUGUUGUAUUAUGCUGUGGUUUUAUUUUUACGUCAUGGUUUCACAGUGUAACCCUGGUAGUCCUGAAACUCACUCUGUAGACCAGGCUGACCUUGAACUCAGAUCUGCCUGCCUCUGUCUCCCGAGUGCUGGGAUUAAAGGCACAUGCCACCACUGCCCGACUAUUAGUAAAGAUAUUUUUACGGCAGAACAAAAGACAAGACAGACUGGAGUGAAAAUUGCAUCUUAGGCAACACAGAACACCGUAAUAAUUAUAUCCAGUCCAGAGAGAAAGAGGCCAAACUGGAAAUGUGGGCAGACACUGAAGUAGAGUCAGGGGAAAACACAAACCUAACCACCAAAGCCAAGUGAGAGUCAGGGCGUAAGACAUGAUUAUAUAAGAACUGUAUCAUACUGUAUGUGAUUAUAAAAGCAGUAAAAAUAUCAGCACUGAAUUUAUGGCCUUAAAUAGGAGCUUAUCCUAAGACCCACAAAAAUGAAAGCGGAAUACUGCUCAAGUUCAUAUACUAUAAACCUUAGAUACCCAAAUGAAAGAGAAAAACUAAGCUGCCCACUGAGAAAUAAUGCAUGCAGUGCAUGACCUAUUGUGUGUGGGAUGCCUUGAUAAAUAGCAGCUACAGUCCAGAUGAUGGAAAGCCCAAAUCAAGAUGCUUCUUGUGUAAAAUGAACAGGUUCGCUUAAUAUUGGAUAUCUGGAUAUACAGUGACGAGAUCAGCAACGUUACCCAGAGCAUUCAGUUCCUACGUUUACCAAGCCGAAAAUCCUCACCAGCAGACACGUAGCUGUGGGUGGCCAUACCUGUGCAUCCUUCAAAUCCUUGAUGCUUUCACCAAUACCUGCAGUUCUCAAGCACAGUGUUGCUUCAAAUUCAGUCCUGGGGCAGACGGUUUCAGUCUUUCAUACUCUCUCUUUCAUCUAUACGAUGGUUCUAACUCCAGGGCUUAAAGAUCCAAUGUUGGGCUGGAGAGAUGGCUCAGCAGUUUUAGCACUGACUGCUCUUCCAAAGGUCCUGAGUUCAUUUCCCAGCAACCACAUGGUGGCUCACAAACAUCCGUAAUGAGAUCUGAUGCCCUCUUCUGCUGUGUCUGAAGACAGCUACAGUGUACUUACAUAUAACAAAUAAAUACAUCUUUAAAGAAAAAAAAAGAUCCAAUGUUUAGGUUCUUCUGGAUACGGUCUCCCUUUCCACCAAGCUAAACUAAGAAGAUUAGCCAACUGUUAGUUUAUUCAAGAUAUGCCCCAACGCCCACCCCGCCCGGUUUCAGCUAAAAGGGUAUCAAACGGGGAUCCGGCCCAUUCCUUUGGCAUGUGGUAUAUUUCUGCUCAUAGCAGAACUUGUAAUUUCCUGCUCAGGUUUUGCUGAAACCCAACCUUGCUUUUCCAGCCAGGAGGCAACCAAAUAUGUCGGGGGUAUCUUUUCAGGAAGACAAGCCUGGUCCUGGGAGGCACCUGCUUCAGAUUAUGUCACCACAUAGCCCCCCAAGCACAAACUAUUUUUGUCUUAGCAAGUGGUUCAGGGAUAUUCUGGCCAGCCUGGAAGGCUCAGAGGGAUUUAGAAGUUCAGACUUCUCAGGCUGCAUCCGUGGGCCCCACUCUUAGAAUCCCUGCUAUAGAAUCAGUGCCCAGGCACAGCUUCCCGGCAAAGUGGAAGAACCAGCAAUUUACCUCAAGCUGGAAUAGACACAUUUUUCUCUUUUGAACCCUGCUCUAAAUUGUCACUUGCUCUAGGAAAAUCAGGUCCCGGUGGCUUUCAGAUAGACAAACAAUUCAAUUCUGGAAUCCAAUCCUGAUGAUUCCUUUCAUUAAUCCCAUAUUCUGAUUGUGUUAACCUAAGUUUUUCUAGAAGGAUGAAUCUGAAGAAAAGGCUCAAGGAUGACUUUAUUUCCGGGGUGUGGUUCUACCGAAACUGGACUGAGGGAAAUGGAAGCAAGACAGGAACGGAUGUAAAGAAAACCCAGUCCUGACCAGUGAAUCACAAAGACACACAUAACAUGGGAUAUCGCCCACAAAUAUGCUAUGCCUUAGAAUAAGCGAGGAUCGGCAAAAAUGUGUACCUAUUGUCUUCCUCCGGAACAAGGGUCACCCUUAUACUUCCAGCUUGGAUCGCCUGACCCCUUAGACAGCUCUUUGGGACACGGUGUGUUUGAUCUUACUUGAAAAGCAAGGAAGAAACCAGAAACUCCGGACAGUGGCGUCAGGUAGUAGAGCCAAGCAGGCCUUCUUGGAGCAGCUGUUAGACUGUGGAGAUGGGAAUGGGGAUUAAGCUUGAAGACAGAGACUCAAAAAAAAAAAAAGCUGGCUUCCCUGAGGGAAAGCUGCCAGUGAAAGACUCCAUGAAGGUGGGAAGUGAGAUAGGAAAUCCAAGGCAAAGGCUAAGGUAUAUCUAACAUCCACUGUCCGGCAGUGCUAAUUAAUGCCUGAAGCAAUCUAGGGCAGGGGGGCUAGGAGAAAGGAAAAGCCUGGCUUCUUAGAAUGGUGACGUCACACGAAAAUAACCACGUGACAAAAACAAACAGAAACUGACCUGUUCUUAAGUGUUAGAAAUAUCCCUCUCUCUCUCUCUCUCUCUCUCUCUCUCUCUCUCUCUCUCUCUCUCUCUCUCUCUCAGCUUCUGGUAAUGAGAGAGGCACACACGUGUAAAGACAGACUUAUUGAAGGAUACAUACAACGUGUUUAUUGCUAGCAUUAAACAUUAAUAGUAGUGAAGAGUUUGAAACCUUCUGGCAAAGCAAAUAACCUGUAUGUGAACUAGAGUUUUUCACAGGAUUAAAUAUGAGCCAACAGCCUAAAGGAGUGUAGUGGAUCUUUAUGUUUUGACAUGAAAAGAUUUUUAGGGCUUUCUUAAAAAAAAAAAAAGGAUGUUGUGGAAAAUGUGCUAAUAUGGAUUUAUAAGAAAUGCCCACGAGGCUGGAGCCCUGUUCAGAACGCAGUUCCGAGCACUGGUUGCUCUUGCAGAGGACCUGAGUUCGAUUUCCAACACCCACAUGGUGACUUCGAUCACACCUAACUCCAGUUCCAGGGAAUCUGACACUUUCUUUUUUCGCUUCCACAGACACCUGAUAUCAAUGUGGUACGUAGACAAAUGUGCCGGCAGAACCCCUGUACUCAUUAAAACAAAAAAUAUUUUUUAAAUAGUCCCACAAAGUAAAACUAUAAUACUUAUGUGUAUAUGUUUAUAUAUGUUAUGAGCAAGAAGAGAGGCACAGAAUGAGAAUAAAAGUCUUGGGUUCUAAGAAAAAAAGAAAAAAACACUCAGUGAAUUAUGUUAAGUAGCCAUACGAGGGAAGUACGAGAUCAAAUACACUUUAAACAUGUCUCUAUUCUCUUUAGUCAUUUAACAGUGCUGUCCUGUAUUAGUUAUUCAAAUAAAUGUUUAUUGAAAAUAUCAAAAACUAGGAGGAUGGCGAGAUGGUUCAGCCGCUAAGAACACUUGCUGCUCCUGUGGAGGACCAGGAUAAUGUUUCUCAGCAUCUUACAUGGCAGCUCAGAACCCUUGAUCACUCCAGUGUCGGAGGAUGUGACACCCUCUUCUGACCUGGACCAGCACCAGGCAUGCACGUUGAUGCACACACAUAUAUUUAUAAAGGCAAAAUAAUCACACAUGUGAAAUGAAAAUAAAAUUUCAAAAACAAAAACUUUAGACGUUAACUCAGAAGGCAUUGUAAGUCAGUUUAUUCACAAUUUGCUCUCCCAGGACAAUGAGACAAUAAAGAACCUUUAUUCUGCAUUCUUUCUUGUACAGUGCAGGUUUAUAUAUAUUGCUUUCAUUGUGUUGUGGGGAGCAGUACAUUUUUACCUAGAGCACACUGAGAUGGGUACAGAACACCGAUAAUACAAACUUAAAGCAAAAUUUCUAAGGAGAUAAAAUGCACACUGUGUCGAUUUGGGGUGUUUUUGGAGUUUAUUACAGACCUGUUGUUCUAUUUACUGAGCCUCAAAAGACAGGAAAUAUUUUGAGUCACUCAUGGACUUUUAGCCUGAGCACCAAGCCUUAAGGUCUAAUAGUGCCAUUUCUGAUGACCGAGCACACCUAGCCAUCCUUCCUCUCCUCGGGUUUCAUCCUUAAAUGUGAAUGUAGACACCGAAACUCAGGGACGAGCAGGAAGUGAAAGUAGAUGCUCGAAGAUACACACAAGGAAGGGCUCUGACUUCUCUUAAGGAAAAGCUUAAGAUAGCUGGGGACUGGAAGAACACAGACAAACAGGGGGUGGGUCUCAGAAUCCAGACUGUCAUAUAACGCUGCAUCCAAAGAAAUGAACUCUUUGUUUGCCUUCUUGGGUCAUCCAGUGUGAUGACCAUGAUGUACAAGUCUCUCUGUACUAGAAUGUAAAGCUUUUGGGGUAUCUUCCCAGUGGUAUCUCUGGGUCCUAUGGUAGACCUGUUUUCAGUGUUUGAGUUGCCUUCACACAGAUCUCCAUGGUGGCUGGACCCAUGAACACCCCCCCCAACAGUGAAUAAAUAAGCUCCCCACUUUCGCACACCUUGACAAUAUCUGUUAUCAUUUUUUUUGUAAAUAGUAGUCAUUCUGAGUGAGUAAGAGUUGUAAAUUGUAUUUCUCUGAUGGCUAAGGAUGAUGAAUCAUCUUUAAACUAUUUAUUAGGCAUUUGUACUCCUUUUAAUAAUUGCAUAUUCAGGUCAUUUGUCCAUUUGUUGAUAUUCAGUCUUGGGUUUUGGGUGUAAGUUUUGAAGUUCUUUAUGUAUUGUAGAUAUUUGAAGUUCUUUAUGUAUUGUCAAAGUGUAAGGAGGAACAUAUUUUAAGAUAAUUUUUUGCAGCAACAUCCAAUUCUAGGGUAAAACACUAUGAAUCUCUUUACCUAUAUCAUGGCAGGAUAGCAAAUGACUCUGUCUCAUGGCUUAGAAAAACAAAGUGGUUUCUUGUUCAUAUCUAUGCACCGAGGCUCUGCUCCACACGGGAUCUUCUCUGUGGGUCCCAAGCUGUAGGAACAAGUCACCUAUGGUACAUUUUGAGUCUCACAACAGAGGAGAAAACCUGCUUGAGGAAGUACUUAGUAGAUGUUCAUUUUGUUUCGAAACAGGGUUUCCUUGUAUAGCCCUGGCUGGCCUUGAACUCACAAAGAACAUCCUGCCUUGGCCUCUAAAACCGCUGGAAUUAAGGACGUGCACCAUCACACUGGGCCCAUUCACUAGAUCUCAAUGCUAUACCUCAAAUUUAUUUUAAUCCAAUUAUAACACUCAUCUUUCUCCAACCUAUUCCAUUUUUUUUCUGCCAUAGAAAAAAAUCGAUGCAAUUAGUAGGGGCACCAAAAUUCUCAUUGCAGAAGGUUAGUGCGGCCACAGGUGGGAAGAAUGAGCUCAGAGGAGAGUUUGGGCAGUUUCGUGGGUUUUAGAUACAUUGUGUAUUUUAUUGGUUGCCUUGAUGGGUUUGAUUGACACAAUCAAGUAACUAAAGUCCCCUCAACUCACCCCUUGGUCUUGUCAAAAUUAAUUCCAUUUGCUUAUUUGUAACCUGUGAUGUAACGUUUUGAUGUAGCCACCAGAUCACAUAAUCUAGAAGAUCCUGUGUGGAACAGAGACUCAGAGCUCAAAUGUGAACAAGAAAUCCACUUUGUUCUUCUAAGCCAUGAGGAUCAUUUGCCAUAAUACAGACCACACCCAGAUGAUCACCAGAACUAUAGCAGGAGAAUAAAAGAUACGGGCUCAUGGAACCAAAGACAGAGUGACCAACUCCGCACCUGAGUGGCAUGAAGACCCUAAAACCUUCAGUUAGUCCUCUGUGACUCGACUUUCUUGUCUGUAAGCUGUGGGUAACAAGAAAUCCACCAGAGAGGUGGAUCUCAAUUACUUCUCUACUGCUGUGAUGAAACACCAUGACCAAAGCAACCUGACGGGAAAGGGUUCACUUGGCUUACACGUCCAUCCCAUAGUCAGUCACUGGAAGGAGUCAGGGCAGGAACCUGGAGGCAGGAGCUGAUGCAGAGGCCACGGAAGGAUGCUGCUUACUGUCUUGCUCACAUGGCUCACUUAGCCUGCUUUCUUCUA
rnacentral:lncRNA from 1 species